AUUGAACGCUGGCGGCAUGCCUAACACAUGCAAGUCGAACGGCAGCAUGAUAAGAGCUUGCUCUUAUUGAUGGCGAGUGGCGGACGGGUGAGUAAUAUGUAGGAAUCUACCUAGAGGAGGGGGAUAACUUAGGGAAACUUAAGCUAAUACCACAUAAGCCCUACGGGGGAAAGCAGGGGAUCGCAAGACCUUGCGCCUUAUGAUGAGCCUACAUCGGAUUAGCUUGUUGGUGGGGUAAAGGCCUACCAAGGCGAUGAUCCGUAGCUGGUCGGCGAGGAUGACCAGACACACUGGGACGGAGACACGGCCCAGACUCCUAAGGGAGGCAGCAGUGGGGAAUAUUGGACAAUGGGGGCAACCCUGAUCCAGCAAUGCCGCGUGUGUGAAGAAGGCCUUAGGGUUGUAAAGCACUUUCAGUGGGGAGGAAGGGUUUAAUGCUAAUAUCAUUGAACAUUGACGUUACCCACAGAAGAAGCACCGGCUAACUCUGUGCCAGCAGCCGCGGUAA
rnacentral:rRNA from 1 species